UACGGAGGGGGCUAGCGUUGUUCGGAAUUACUGGGCGUAAAGCGCACGUAGGCGGCUUUGUAAGUUAGAGGUGAAAGCCCGGAGCUCAACUCCGGAAUUGCCUUUAAGACUGCAUCGCUUGAAUCAUGGAGAGGUGAGUGGAAUUCCGAGUGUAGAGGUGAAAUUCGUAGAUAUUCGCAAGAACACCAGUGGCGAAGGCGGCCAACUGGUCCGGUACUGACGCUGAGGUGCGAAAGCGUGGGGAGCAAACAGG
rnacentral:rRNA from 1 species